UACGUUUCCCCCUCUUAAAGAAGGAUCAGCCAGGACACUUGAAGAAAGGAGGGCCGUACUGCCAAGGGUGGCAUCACGACCCUGAUUUUCUAUUAAGAAAUUUUGAUGACCGCGUGCAAUGCGUUCGGUAGAAUCAGUGGUUGUUCCGUAGUAUGUAUAGGUUAUUGUGUUUCGAAGCACAGUGGCUUCGAGUAGAGUUGCGUUUACAUUUUAGGUUACACGCGAAGGUCGAGUCAGUGUAUAUUGCGCGUUUGUAAAUUUCGUCCAGAGCAUCGUGGCUCUCUUUGCUUCGAAUAUCGCGACAGUAGAAUCAUUUGUUCGCCGUAUUUGAUUUUCGAUCGCGUUAAUUUAAUAUUCUUUUUAAUUUUUAAAAAUUUUAAUUACUCGUUACCGGUAUUAGAGUCAGUGCAUCACUGAAGAAAAGUAUGUAUUGGGCGAAAGUCUACGAGUAUAAAAUUCUGUGAAUCUCAUCUUUACAUUCUGGAAACCAGCAGGACCAUGGAGACGCCUUCGCUGAUGUAUUUCACUGGACACCAGGAUCGUUAUCGUCGCAGAGGUUAUGUCAUCGUAGUCAACGAUUGAUUAAACCGCUUCCCCCCUUCGGUUAAGAACCGUCAAACCGUCCGUGCACCAUUGGAUCCAUCGUCGCUGGAUCACGUACGACAUUCUGGAUCCGCGUCGCGCCGCCUGCAGAGGACGUUCGCGCGAUGAUGACGAUGCACGUCGCUUGCCGCUGAGAGAUCGGGCCCGCGUCGACAUUUCAGAUUCUUUUGGAAGAUAUCGUAUGAUCCGGAACACUAAGACACGGCCGAGCAGCGUACGAGUUCAAAGGGACGGUCGGCUGUCGGAGGGCGAGGCGUUCGCGUUAUCUGCGCGAAAUAGAUGCCCGGCGGAAGUUUCCCGAGGGAAAGAAGCAAGAAAAUCGCCCAAUGACGCGCGUAUUAAAGUUUCAACGGGCGGACAUUAACUGCGUCUCGAGGAGACGGGCCAGCCAAAGUAGCCGGGAAUAGAAGAUUCAUAUCCGCGAUCUGCACAUGACGGCGGACCAUGGUACAUUAUUUAACGAGAUGAUAACCAGCGGACAUUGAAGACC